rnacentral:rRNA from 2 species
UCAAGUAAUUAAGUGCAUGUGGUGGAUGCCUUGGCAGUCAGAGGCGAUGAAAGACGUGAUAGCCUGCGAAAAGCUCCGGGGAGGCGGCAAAUAUCCUUUGAUCCGGAGAUGUCUGAAUGGGGGAACCCACCUACUUUAAGGUAGGUAUUGCAACAUGAAUACAUAGUGUUGCAAGGCGAACGAGGGGAAGUGAAACAUCUCAGUACCCUUAGGAAAAGAAAUCAAUUGAGAUUCCCUCAGUAGCGGCGAGCGAACGGGGAUCAGCCCAUUAAGUUAUGUGUGUUUUAGUGGAACGCUCUGGGAAGUGCGAACGUAGAGGGUGAUAUUCCCGUACACGAAAGGGCACACAUAAUGAUGACGAGUAGGGCGAGGCACGUGAAACCUUGUCUGAAUAUGGGGGACCAUCCUCCAAGGCUAAAUACUCCUGACUGACCGAUAGUGAACCAGUACCGUGAGGGAAAGGCGAAAAGAACCCCUGUGAGGGGAGUGAAAUAGAUCCUGAAACCGCAUGCAUACAAGCAGUGGGAGCACCUUCGUGGUGUGACUGCGUACCUUUUGUAUAAUGGGUCAGCGACUUAUAUUCAGUAGCGAGGUUAACCGUAUAGGGGAGCCGUAGAGAAAUCGAGUCUUAAUAGGGCGUUUAGUUGCUGGGUAUAGACCCGAAACCAGGCGAUCUAUCCAUGAGCAGGUUGAAGGUUGGGUAACACUAACUGGAGGACCGAACCCACUGUCGUUGAAAAGCCAGGGGAUGACUUGUGGAUAGGGGUGAAAGGCUAAUCAAGCCUGGUGAUAGCUGGUUCUCCCCGAAAGCUAUUUAGGUAGCGCCUCGGACGAAUACCAUAGGGGGUAGAGCACUGUUUCGGCUAGGGGGUCAUCCCGACUUACCAAACCGAUGCAAACUCCGAAUACCUAUGAGUACUAUCCGGGAGACAGACUGCGGGUGCUAACGUCCGUAGUCAAGAGGAAAACAAUCCAGACCGCCAGCUAAGGCCCCAAAAUCAUAGUUAAGUGGGAAACGAUGUGGGAAGGCAUAGACAGCUAGGAGGUUGGCUUAGAAGCAGCCACCCUUUAAAGAAAGCGUAAUAGCUCACUAGUCGAGUCGGCCUGCGCGGAAGAUGUAACGGGGCUAAAACUAUGUGCCGAAGCUGCGGAUGUAUACUUUGUAUACGUGGUAGGGGAGCGUUCUGUAAGCCGAUGAAGGUGUGUUGAGAAGCAUGCUGGAGGUAUCAGAAGUGCGAAUGCUGACGUGAGUAACGACAAAACGGGUGAAAAACCCGUUCGCCGAAAGACCAAGGGUUCCAGUCCAACGUUAAUCGGGGCUGGGUGAGUCGACCCCUAAGGCGAGGCCGAAAGGCGUAGUCGAUGGGAAAAUGGUUAAUAUUCCAUUACUUCUGUGUAAUGCGAUGAGAGGACGGAGAAGGCUAAAUCAGCCUGGCGUUGGUUGUCCAGGUGAAAGGAUGUAGGCAUGUAUCUUAGGCAAAUCCGGGGUACUCUAUGCUGAGAUCUGAUAGCAAGCUGUACUUGUACAGCGAAGUGGUUGAUGCCAUGCUUCCAGGAAAAGUCUCUAAGCUUCAGUUACACAGGAAUCGUACCCGAAACCGACACAGGUGGUCAGGUCGAGUAGACCAAGGCGCUUGAGAGAACUCUGCUGAAGGAACUAGGCAAAAUGGUACCGUAACUUCGGGAGAAGGUACGCUGUUGUUGGUGAUGGAACUCGCUUCCUGAGCUGACGACAGCCGCAGAAACCAGGCCGCUGCAACUGUUUAUUAAAAACAUAGCACUCUGCAAACACGAAAGUGGACGUAUAGGGUGUGAUGCCUGCCCGGUGCUGGAAGGUUAAUUGAUGGGGUUAGCGUAAGCGAAGCUCUUGAUCGAAGCCCCAGUAAACGGCGGCCGUAACUAUAACGGUCCUAAGGUAGCGAAAUUCCUUGUCGGGUAAGUUCCGACCUGCACGAAUGGCAUAAUGAUGGCGGCGCUGUCUCCAGCAGAGGCUCAGUGAAAUCGAAAUCGCUGUGAAGAUGCAGUGUACCCGCGGCUAGACGGAAAGACCCCGUGAACCUUUACUGCAGCUUGACACUGAACUUUGACCUUACUUGUGUAGGAUAGGUGGGAGGCUUUGAAGCUGGAACGCUAGUUCCAGUGGAGCCGUCCUUGAAAUACCACCCUGGUAAUGUUGAGGUUCUAACUCUGUCCCGUGAUCCGGGACGAGGACCGUGUCUGGUGGGUAGUUUGACUGGGGCGGUCUCCUCCUAAAGAGUAACGGAGGAGUACGAAGGUGCGCUCAGCGUGGUCGGAAAUCACGCGUAGAGUAUAAAGGCAAAAGCGCGCUUAACUGCGAGACCCACAAGUCGAGCAGGUACGAAAGUAGGUCUUAGUGAUCCGGUGGUUCUGUAUGGAAGGGCCAUCGCUCAACGGAUAAAAGGUACUCUGGGGAUAACAGGCUGAUACCGCCCAAGAGUUCAUAUCGACGGCGGUGUUUGGCACCUCGAUGUCGGCUCAUCUCAUCCUGGGGCUGAAGCAGGUCCCAAGGGUAUGGCUGUUCGCCAUUUAAAGAGGUACGCGAGCUGGGUUUAGAACGUCGUGAGACAGUUCGGUCCCUAUCUACCGUGGGCGCUGGAAAUUUGAGAGGAUCUGCUCCUAGUACGAGAGGACCAGAGUGGACGAACCUCUGGUGUACCGGUUGUGACGCCAGUCGCAUCGCCGGGUAGCUAUGUUCGGAAGGGAUAACCGCUGAAAGCAUCUAAGCGGGAAGCCUACCUCAAGAUAAGAUUUCCCUAGGACUUUAUGUCCUCUAAAGAGCCGUUCGAGACUAGGACGUUGAUAGGUUGGAUGUGGAAGCAUAGUGAUAUGUGAAGCUGACCAAUACUAAUUGCUCGUGAGGCUUGACUAU